rnacentral:tRNA from 1 species
GUGCUUUUAGGCCAGUGGCAUUUUGAUUUCGGCUCAAAAAGAGUGAGUAAGAUCA